UACAGAGGUCUCAAGCGUUGUUCGGAUUCAUUGGGCGUAAAGGGUGCGUAGGUGGCGCGGUAAGUCGGGUGUGAAAUCUCGGAGAUUAACUCCGAAAUUGCAUUCGAUACUGCCGUGCUUGAGGACUGGAGAGGAGACUGGAAUUCAUGGUGUAGCAGUGAAAUGCGUAGAGAUCAUGAGGAAGACCAGUGGCGAAGGCGGGUCUCUGGACAGUUCCUGACACUGAGGAGCGAAAGCGUGGGGAGCGAACAGG
rnacentral:rRNA from 1 species